CCCGGAGGGAAGGGACACUUGCCCCAAUCCCGUCUUCCCGAUUUCCCUUCCCUCCAGGUGGAAGCACCGGUGGCAGAAUAUUAACUACUAUUUUCUGGGCAAAAGGAAGCGACAUCUAGUUCCCUUGCGCCCGUGAGAGCCGCUGCUGAGCACCCUCUAUUAGAAAGUGACCCUGAGACAGUGGAGAAUGUCUGGAGGGGCAGAACUGGUUGGCAGAGAGGUCAGUGAGAAGCUGAUGACGUAACCCAGCCCAGGUGAAUGAAGGGUCUUCCACAGGGCGAGGCAUGGAGAGGAGCAAUGAGCUGAGAUCAGUCCAGGUUCCUGGCUUGGGCAGUGGAGGAGGCUGGAGUACAGUGGCGUGAUCUCAGCUGACUGCAACC
rnacentral:lncRNA from 1 species